rnacentral:misc_RNA from 1 species
UUUCCGUAGGUGAACCUGCGGAAGGAUCAUUAACAAGUAAGGGUCAUUCUGGCCCGACCUCCAACCCUUUGUUUAUUUACUAUGUAUCUUUUGCGGGCCGGUUUCACGACCGCCGGAAGUUCUUGGACUUCGUCCCCGUACCUGCCAACUGCCUUCUACAAACUCUUGAUAAAAUGAGUUGUCUUACUAAUAUAUUUAAUAGAUAAAACUUUCAACAACGGAUCUCUUUGUUUUGGCAUAGGUAAACAACGAAGCUGAUCAGAAGAGCACACGACUGAA